GUUGCUUUCAAAUUAAGAUUUUAUUGCAAGCGGUGGAGGCACAAGAAGGGAAAUCAGUCUGGAGGAAAAGAUUCACAAUGCCUGAAUCUUCUGAUUAUAAACUCUAGAGAACUUGUGUAAAAUACAGUGCCAUAUUGUGCAAAAAUCUAAGCUUUCAGAGCCACUGCCAGAAGCAAGUAGCUACUUUAAUUUUGUACCCUGCGUGGGCUCGGUGCCUCUGCAGAACAUCUGGGUACCUUUGGGAUCCGCCUCUGACCGCAGCAGGGAUGCCUGGCUGCCUGCCCUGGCCGCUGCAGGAACAUCUGUGGAAAACUGAGCUGUGUCCAAAUCAGGAACCAGGGGUACAGCAGGAGCGGAAAGUGCCAGAGCUGCUCCGAGGCUACACAUUCUUUGGAGUGCUUCUGCUAACUGAAGUCAUCCAACUAAUUAUUUCAACAGGGUUAAAUCUAAGCUAUAAACAUCUUUGAGAUAUCCUGUGGAAACUUCCAGUUGGAAAAAUAAAUGGUUCUUGAUGUGGGUUUUGCAGCAGCGCUCUUCUGGAAGGCUCUUACCGACCUGCACUGCUCCCUGCUCCCUUCUGGUUCCCCUGGCCUCCUCUAACUCAAUCUUUACAGCUUUGUUUCACCAUUCCAAUGUGCUGUCCUUGUUUUUCCCGUGAGCAACUCUGAAUGCUGGGGAAAACUGAGGUUGCAAAUCCGAACAUGGGAUUCAGACUCAUCUCUGGGGCCUGCGAGAAAUCUGAGUGGAAGAAUCACCUGGAGAUUUGAACUUCAGUGGAAAACCACCGGGCUGCCUGGGAGCUGUGGAGGGGGCGCGGGAUGGAGGGAAGGAGACCCGUGAUUCCUGCCUGGCUCAGGUGAGGGCUGCUGUCCAUAUUGCCACCACAACCUCACACUGGAAGAGCAUAUGUACAACACACAGAAGACCAUAAGGGAAGAAAGCAAAAGCAAGUUGUGGAGUAAAAAGUACAAGUCAUCGUAUGGUUUGAUACCUACUGUUCUGAAAUUAUAUUGCUGCUUAUUUGCAUUUGAAGAGGAAAAAUCUUCAUCGUUAUGGGUGAGUAGUCACAGGAAAACUUGCUAUUGAAUCAAAGCUGAUCAAUACUGUGCUUAAAAAUACAUUAGCUGGGAAAGCAGAACAGAUGCUUGAGAAGAGGGAUACUACCUGCCAUUCUGUUUCUGAAGAAAGUUAGUUCUUGCACAAUUUUUUUGAGGAAUCCUGACCAGAUCGUCCUGCUUGUUUUUUGAGAAAGAACAAAAAUAGUCCGUUUGCUCUAUCAGAUCUGACCUCUGAUCUCUUAUCAUAGAAUUGCCUACAUCUUUUUCCUUAAUUUUUUUGGGGGGGAUUCCAAGAAUACUUGUCUCCGGGGCCUUGGCUUCAUUUGUUCUGAGAUCUAGAGAAGUCUGGUUUUGCCACCGUAUUUGAAACCUCUUUAAUUCUUGGGAAAAGGGUGAAGCUUACUGUUUAAUUAAACUGAAUGUGAUUUUUCUGUGGUUGCAUUUAUGAAAAAGAAGAUAACUAUCCUGUGACAGACACAAAGUUUUCUGCUAAGAAUAGACCUGUGUGGCCCAUGAAUACGCCUUGUGUUAAACAGGUUUUGAUGGAAGGCUCACUGCUGGAUUUCAAGAUAGCUGGCAUCCUUUUCUCCCAAGCUAAAGAGCUGAAGAAGAGCUACUUAAGGCUCCUCUAUAUGGAGAAGCUGUGGAGAGAUAAACUCAUGGGGGAAGUUAAAGAAGAGAAGCUGGUCUCUGGGAAGAGGCUAUUGCUCCAGGAAGGCACCUUUGGGUCACCUGGUUUGGUUCCAUUCCAGAGAUGCUCAAGGGCCUUAACAACUGCCCUGUGUCCCCCGAGUACCAAACCACACGUGUACUCUUAGCCUGCCAUGAAGCUAAGGUCAAAUGUGGGCUUGCACAUCCUUGACUGUGCAAGCAGGAGAGCAGGUUGUGUGCUGUG